GACUACUGUGGCCUAGUGGUUAGACCAUCCGACUCGGAUGAGGAAGGUCGCGGGUUCGCAACCCCGGCUGAGUCA